rnacentral:rRNA from 1 species
CACGUAGGGGCAAGCGUUGUCCGGAUUUAUUGGCGUAAGAGCUCGUAGGUGGUUCGGUAAGUCGGUGUUAACCCAGGCUCACCUGGACGCCACUCGAUACUGCUGUGACUAGAGUCCGGUAGGAGCGUGGAAUCGUGUGUAGCGUGAUGCGCAGAUAUCAGAGACACGAUGCGAGCAGUCUCUGCGUACUGACGCUGAGACACGAAGCGUGUAGCAACAGAUAGAUACGGUAGUCAGACAGUCUCUGCUACGU